UACGGAGGGUGCAAGCGUUAUCCGGAAUCACUGGGUUUAAAGGGUGCGUAGGCGGCAUGAUAAGUCAGGGGUGAAAGCCUGCAGCUCAACUGUAGAAUCGCCUUUGAUACUGUUAUGCUUGAAUUAGGUUGAGGUCGGCGGAAUGUGACAUGUAGCGGUGAAAUGCAUAGAUAUGUCAUAGAACACCAAUUGCGAAGGCAGCUGGCUAGACCUGAAUUGACGCUGAGGCACGAAAGCGUGGGGAGCGGACAGG
rnacentral:rRNA from 1 species